rnacentral:tmRNA from 1 species
GGGGGCGUAUUGGCUUCGACGGGGGUAGGUUGUAUCUGGGAAGCGAGUCGAGGGAACCUGUGGACCCGCGUUAAAAAACUAUGGGAUUAAAGAUAAACGCAAACGAUAAUUUUGCAUUAGCAGCUUAGUCUGCUACGUUCUACCUUAGAGUACCGCGGCUUAGGAUAGGGCGCCGAUAGCGGUGAAACGAGCCUGUGUAAGCUUUGCCACAGGAACGGGAUUUAUGAAGCUACUGAAACUAGAAGCGUGUCCUUGGGCGUCUGGUAGAGGGAAUGUUAAAAUAAGGACUGCACUCGGAGAUGCUCAGGUAUUACGACUUUCGGACAGGGGUUCGACACCCCUCGCCUCCACCA